rnacentral:rRNA from 1 species
AUGGCUCGGCUCGCCGCCCUCCUCCUCGCCUUCGCCGUCGCCGUCUCCGCCGCCGCGCUGGCGCAUGGCCGCGAUCUCCCGACCCAGAUCAAGCUGACCAAGGGCGGUGGCGCGGUGGGCGGCGACAGCCAGGAGUGCGUGUACACGGUGUACGUGCGCACGGGGUCGAUCUGGAAGGCCGGGACGGACGCCAACAUCACGCUGGAGCUCUACACGGCGGGCAACGCCGACGGCGUGGCGAUCGCGGACCUGCCGUCGUGGGGCGGGCUCAUGUGGGGGGGCCACUCCUACUUCGAGCGCGGCAACCUGGACAUCUUCAGCGGGCGCGGGCCGUGCAUGGCCGGCGCGCCCUGCCGCAUGAGGGUGUCCUCCGACGGCACCGGCGCGCACCACGGCUGGUACUGCAACUACGUGGAGGUCACCGUCACCGGCCCGCACCGCGGCUGCGCCCAGCAGCUCUUCACCGUCGAGCAGUGGCUCGCCACCGACGCCGCGCCCUACAAGCUCGAGGCCGUCGUCGACCGCUGCCCCGCCGAUGGCACCGCCGCCGAGGAGUAA